GGGCCCGUAGCGCAGUCAGGAAGCGCGGCGGCCUUCGGAGCCGUAGUGUGCCUUGAAGAGGCACGCGGACGUCCCGGGUUCAAGUCCCGGCGGGCCCG
rnacentral:tRNA from 1 species